rnacentral:rRNA from 1 species
UACGUAGGGGGCUAGCGUUGUCCGGAAUCAUUGGGCGUAAAGAGCGUGUAGGCGGUCCGGUAAGUCCGCUGUGAAAGUCGGGGGCUCAACCCUCGAAUGCCGGUGGAUACUGUCGGGCUAGAGUGCGGAAGAGGCGAGUGGAAUUCCUGGUGUAGCGGUGAAAUGCGCAGAUAUCUGGAGGAACACCGGUGGCGAAGGCGGCAUCCUGGACCAACACUGACGCUGAUGAGCGAAAGCCAGGGGAGCAAACGGG